rnacentral:rRNA from 1 species
UGCCAGCCGCCGCGGUAAUACGAAGGGGGCUAGCGUUGUUCGGAUUUACUGGGCGUAAAGCGCUCGUAGGCGGAUCUUUAAGUCAGGGGUGAAAUCCCGGAGCUCAACUCCGGAACUGCCUUCGAUACCGGGGAUCUCGAGUCCGGGAGAGGUGAGUGGAAUUGCGAGUGUAGAGGUGAAAUUCGUAGAUAUUCGCAGGAACACCAGUGGCGAAGGCGGCUCACUGGCCCGGUACUGACGCUGAGAUGCGAAAGCGUGGGGAGCAAACAGGAUUAGAUA